rnacentral:tRNA from 1 species
GCUUGUAUAGUUUAUUUAAAAUAUUAAUUUGUGGAUUUAACGAUGUGAUUAUUCACUAUAGGCC